CUGCCCUUGGGUCCGGCAUAACCCCGGGAAACUGGGGAUAAUUCCGGAUAACGCACAUAUGCUGGAAUGCUUUAUGCGUCAAAUGGAUUCGUCUGCCCAAGGAUGGGUCUGCGGCCUAUCAGGUAGUAGUGGGUGUAAUGUACCUACUAGCCGACGACGGGUACGGGUUGUGAGAGCAAGAGCCCGGAGAUGGAUUCUGAGACAUGAAUCCAGGCCCUACGGGGCGCAGCAGGCGCGAAAACUUUACAAUGCGGGAAACCGUGAUAAGGGGACACCGAGUGCCAGCAUCAUAUGCUGGCUGUCCGGGUGUGUAAAAUACACCUGUUAGCAAGGGCCGGGCAAGACCGGUGCCAGCCGCCGCGGUAACACCGGCGGCCCGAGUGGUGAUCGUGAUUAUUGGGUCUAAAGGGUCCGUAGCCGGUUUGGUCAGUCCUCCGGGAAAUCUGACGGCUUAACCGUUAGGCUUUCGGAGGAUACUGCCAGGCUUGGAACCGGGAGAGGUAAGAGGUACUACAGGGGUAGGAGUGAAAUCUUGUAAUCCCUGUGGGACCACCUGUGGCGAAGGCGUCUUACCAGAACGGGUUC
rnacentral:rRNA from 1 species